CUGUCCAGCCCUCAGGGAUCAUGUCUAUAGUUGGUUACUAGAGUGUCUCUGACUGUGCAGAGUACCAGAAACAAUAAGGAGGAGGAGCAGUCAUCUCUCCUGAACGUGAGGCCAGCUCUCGGUGUUGCUUUGCCGCGACUGUCACCUGCCACGGAUGACCAUUCUUGCUCUCUUUGGGAGUGUUGGAGAGAGAGGACGCAGUCUGAGUUGC
ensembl:snoRNA U3 Small nucleolar RNA U3